rnacentral:rRNA from 1 species
UACGGGGGGUGCGAGCGUUGUCCGGAAUCACUGGGCGUAAAGGGCGCGUACGUGGCGUCGUAAGUCUGUGGUGAAAGCCCGGAGCUCAACUCCGGGUCUGCCGCGGAUACUGCGAGGCUUGAGUGCUGUAGAGGGGGGUAGAAUGCCGGGUGUAGCGGUGGAAUGCGUAGAGAUCGGGAGGAAGGCCGGUGGCGAAGGCGGCGCUCUGGAACGUUUCUGACACUGAGGCUCGAAAGCGUGGGGAGCAAACAGG